AGCAGCUGCUGUGCUUGAGCCUGGGAAAACUCCGCCCCCUGCCCCUGGCCCGGGCUCAUUGGCGCGCGCUGCGUGUGGGGUGUGGGGUGUGUGUGUAUGUGCGUGUGUCCGGGGGGGCCUCCUCCUCCUCCUCUUCCAGCCCCCGCCGGGCCAGGAAUCCGAGGGGGUGGCGGGCUGGGAGCGGAGCCCCGGCGCUUACCACCCCUCAUCCCCUCCUUCCCCCGCCAAGGUCAGCCCUUCCGGGCGGGGAGCGCACGACCCAGGGUGGAGAGUGGGGAAUUAUUCCAACCCCCACUCCACCCCAGAUUUCAGGCUUGGGGUUUUAACUCGACCGAAAGCCUCACUAGCGGCAGCCCGGGGUGGGGGGUGGGUAGGGGCCUUCUUGUUUGCUCCUUGCCCCGGCCAGUCCUCCUUCCUUCCCCCCGCGGGGCCCCCGGCGCCCGCCGCGGUCACGAGAUGCCUGACCGCACUUAGGAAGCGGCCGGGUCAGCCUCCAGCCUCAACUUGGCGACUGCGGUUAAAGCGGCUUCGCGCCACCCGCCUCUUCCCGGGGUCUAGGGCAGCCGGGCAGCUCCCCCUCACUGCACCCGGGAGGCCGCCGGCGGGCGGCAGGGAGGAGGCGGGCGGCGCGGGCGGCUGCGUGCUGCCGGCUGGCCCAGCCGCGCGCCGGGAGGAGCCGCCGCCGCCGCCGGGUGCCACGUGGCGGGCGCCGGGCCGGGAGCGCCAGGGCUCUGGCGGCGGCCUCCCUGGGGGAUUUGCCGCGCAGGGCGGGCGACGCACACUGCCCCGGCCGGCCAGCCGGCCGCCGCCGCCGCUCUUCCUCCCUCCAGCUCUCUUGCCCGGGUCGCCUACCCUCUCCACCCUUCCCGCCUCAGGGAGCUCGGCACACUGCUGAGGGGCAGCCCAGGCAUUUCGUUUGAUGUCGCCCCUUCCUCCUCCCUUUCCCCCUCCCUAAGCUUGGAGGCUGCUGAAGGCCUGGCACACAUUUCUCAGACACUUCAUUCCUUCCUUCCUCCCAGUUCCCCACUGAGAUAAUGUUGUAAAUGAUUUCACCAGAUCUCCUCCCGGAUGAGAUUCAGUGGUUCCUGAUUCUGGGUGACCUUGUGCAAGCCGCCCUUUUUCUUUCGUUACGAAACGCCACACUAUGCCAGACUAUGUUAAACUCUGGGAUUACCACGUUGAGAGAUACAGUGGCAGCCUACAAGGAGUUUCCAGUCAACUCUGACGGCAAACAGACCCUGAUUUUCUGAUUGAUGACUACGUAUUCCUCUCCUAUUCCCUUCUCUCAGGGCUUAGAUGAUGAUGUCCAGAGAGAUCAGGAGAAAUCUAAAGAAAACACUGAAGCAUACCUGUAUGGGCAACAAUUGGCCUACUUGGUGAAUACAGUGAUCAGUAAGAUAGUUAUUGCCCUCAGGAAGCCCACAGACUAGAGAUGCUAUACUCAUUCCCUGCAGCCUGCCAGAGACGUGGUCUCUGCCCUGCCAAGAACUAUCCUGGGAGAGCUAUUGAAAGAGCCCUUGAAUAAGAGUCCAUAUAUGUUCAUCACAGCAGAAUUCAUAACUGAGACUUCCCACCUGAAGGUCCAUGGAUGAACUCCUGGAGAGCCUAUAAAGCUCAUGGAAUGGAAUUCAAAAUGUGUCUCUUUGAAUACUUUUUGAAAGAAUGAACAAAUGAGUUAUUUUUUUUCCUGAAGAGAAGGUCCAUAGCUUUCAACAAGAGUUUCAAAGCAUUUUGUGACCCCAAAA